GGACGUGUUUUUAAUGAAAGUGAUGAAAAUAUUUAUUUUUUAAGUUAUUAAAUUUUUAACAUAUAUAUCUCAUCAUUUGUAUAAUAAAUGUAUCUUUCCGUGUAGUAAUCACUGAAAAAUCUCUCAUUGUCGUGGCACGACAAGUUUUUUAGUAUAAAAAAAAACUAAAAAAAUAUUAAAACUACUGUUAAUUAACAGUUCCCACCCGGUUUUGUCCUUUGUACUCUUCAUUUUUGUUCCCUUGCGUUUUGUUUUUUCUAGGGAAGAUGCUUUCAAGAUUUUCAUAUUUCAAGGAACAUGUUUCCAGCAUCUUUCAUAUUUCAGGCAAGGUGCAUUUCAUUUUUCACUUUCCUUUCUUUUCUUUUCUCAGUCUUUCCGUUUCUCUAUAUUUCUCCUCCGUGUGUCUUCUUUUAAUUUCUAUCGGAUCGUGUGGAAGUGUGCUUGGCCUGUUUUUCUCGCUGUUUUCCACUAACGAAUCGCUCUGGUUAGAUGUGUUUGUUCAUGCGUUGCUUUAUUUUCUGUUUGGUUAGGAAGAAAUUUAUUGUCAAGUAAUUAUGCAAAUGAAGCACUGGGAUGACUGUCGAUGGGGAAUACUAGACUAGCCAUUUUUGUAUAUCAAUGACAAGGCAUUUGACAAUGUCUUUUUCUCUAAGUUACAUAAACUUAGACAGGUUUGUAAAAAUAUUUGCUCCAUUUUCUACUUAAUGUUUAACUUAGUGUGUACUUAUUUAUAUGUUAAAAAUAUAAUCGAUAGUUAUAUUUUUGCUCCCGCAACAACGUGCGGGU
rnacentral:lncRNA from 1 species